rnacentral:rRNA from 1 species
CCUGGCUCAGGACGAACGCUGGCGGCGCGCCUAACACAUGCAAGUCGAACGAGCGAGAGAGAGCUUGCUUUCUCGAGCGAGUGGCGAACGGGUGAGUAACGCGUGAGGAACCUGCCUCAAAGAGGGGGACAACAGUUGGAAACGACUGCUAAUACCGCAUAAGCCCACAGCUCGGCAUCGAGCAGAGGGAAAAGGAGCAAUCCGCUUUGAGAUGGCCUCGCGUCCGAUUAGCUAGUUGGUGAGGUAAUGGCCCACCAAGGCGACGAUCGGUAGCCGGACUGAGAGGUUGAACGGCCACAUUGGGACUGAGACACGGCCCAGACUCCUACGGGAGGCAGCAGUGGGGAAUAUUGCACAAUGGGGGAAACCCUGAUGCAGCGACGCCGCGUGGAGGAAGAAGGUCUUCGGAUUGUAAACUCCUGUUGUUGAGGAAGAUAAUGACGGUACUCAACAAGGAAGUGACGGCUAACUACGUGCCAGCAGCCGCGGUAAAACGUAGGUCACAAGCGUUGUCCGGAAUUACUGGGUGUAAAGGGAGCGCAGGCGGGAAGACAAGUUGGAAGUGAAAUCCAUGGGCUCAACCCAUGAACUGCUUUCAAAACUGUUUUUCUUGAGUAGUGCAGAGGUAGGCGGAAUUCCCGGGGUAGCGGUGGAAUGCGUAGAUAUCGGGAGGAACACCAGUGGCGAAGGCGGCCUACUGGGCACCAACUGACGCUGAGGCUCGAAAGUGUGGGUAGCAAACAGGAUUAGAUACCCUGGUAGUCCACACUGUAAACGAUGAUUACUAGGUGUUGGAGGAUUGACCCCUUCAGUGCCGCAGUUAACACAAUAAGUAAUCCACCUGGGGAGUACGACCGCAAGGUUGAAACUCAAAGGAAUUGACGGGGGCCCGCACAAGCAGUGGAGUAUGUGGUUUAAUUCGACGCAACGCGAAGAACCUUACCAAGUCUUGACAUCCCUUGACGAUGCUGGAAACAGUAUUUCUCUUCGGAGCAAGGAGACAGGUGGUGCAUGGUUGUCGUCAGCUCGUGUCGUGAGAUGUUGGGUUAAGUCCCGCAACGAGCGCAACCCUUAUGGUCAGUUACUACGCAAGAGGACUCUGGCCAGACUGCCGUUGACAAAACGGAGGAAGGUGGGGAUGACGUCAAAUCAUCAUGCCCUUUAUGACUUGGGCUACACACGUACUACAAUGGCGUUAAACAAAGAGAAGCAAGACCGCGAGGUGGAGCAAAACUCAGAAACAACGUCCCAGUUCGGACUGCAGGCUGCAACUCGCCUGCACGAAGUCGGAAUUGCUAGUAAUCGCAGAUCAGCAUGCUGCGGUGAAUACGUUCCCGGGCCUUGCACACACCGCCC